rnacentral:rRNA from 1 species
GAUGAACGCUGGCGGCGUGCCUAAUACAUGCAAGUCGAGCGAACAGACGAGGAGCUUGCUCCUUCGACGUUAGCGGCGGACGGGUGAGUAACACGUAGGUAACCUACCUAUAAGACUGGGAUAACUUCGGGAAACCGGAGCUAAUACCGGGUAAUAUUUCGAACCGCAUGGUUCGAUAGUGAAAGAUGGCUUUGCUAUCACUUAUAGAUGGACCUGCGCCGUAUUAGCUAGUUGGUAAGGUAACGGCUUACCAAGGCAACGAUACGUAGCCGACCUGAGAGGGUGAUCGGCCACACUGGAACUGAGACACGGUCCAGACUCCUACGGGAGGCAGCAGUAGGGAAUCUUCCGCAAUGGGCGAAAGCCUGACGGAGCAACGCCGCGUGAGUGAUGAAGGUCUUCGGAUCGUAAAACUCUGUUAUUAGGGAAGAACAAACGUGUAAGUAACUGUGCACGUCUUGACGGUACCUAAUCAGAAAGCCACGGCUAACUACGUG